GCACAACGCGAAGAACCUUACCUACUCUUGACAUCUAGCGAAGAUUGCAGAGAUGCAGUUGUGCCUUCGGGAACGCUAAGACAGGUGCUGCAUGGCUGUCGUCAGCUCGUGUUGUGAAAUGUUGGGUUAAGUCCCGCAACGAGCGCAACCCUUAUCCUUAGUUGCCAGCACGUAAUGGUGGGAACUCUAGGGAGACUGCCGGUGAUAAACCGGAGGAAGGUGGGGACGACGUCAAGUCAUCAUGGCCCUUACGAGUAGGGCUACACACGUGCUACAAUGGUACGUACAGAGGGAGGCAAGCUGGCGACAGUGAGCGGAUCUCUUAAAGCGUAUCGUAGUCCGGAUCGCAGUCUGCAACUCGACUGCGUGAAGUCGGAAUCGCUAGUAAUCGCGAAUCAGAAUGUCGCGGUGAAUACGUUCCCGGGUCUUGUACACACCG
rnacentral:rRNA from 1 species